ensembl:lncRNA
AGAAGGGUAACUGUUGCUAAAAGCCCUUACAGAUAGAGACCUGGGUAAAGGAGCAAGUGGAGCUCAGCAGAGGGUGUAGGGAGGUAAGUGUGGUUAUGCGUCGGAACAAGCUCUACAACUGAUGCUUUCGAACUGUGAUGCUGGACAAGACUCUUGAGAGUCCCUUGGACAGCAAGGAGACCAAACCAGUCAGUCCUAAAGGAAAUCAACCCUGAACAUUCACUGGAAGGACUGAAGCUGAAGCUCUAAUACUGUUGCCACCUGAUAUGAAGAGCCGGCUCAUUGGAAAAGACCCUAAUGCUGGGAAAGACUGAAGACAGGAGGAGAAUGGGAUGAUACGGCUGGAUGGCAUCAACAACUCAAUGGACAUGAGUUUGAGCAAACUCUGGUAGACAGUGAAAAACAGAGAAGCUUGGUGCAACUGAGCAGCUGAACAACAAAACAUAGCCCCAGUCAGGCUGCAAGAUCCGUCGCUCCUGGUAAGUCAAGUCACUUUCCAAAACACCCUCGCACAGCUGCGCUGAUGGCCAGCUCCACUGGCAGCUGGUGGAGCCAUGACUCACGCUGUCACCACUCCCCCCAAACCUCUCCUGUGAGCACUUUGAAUCAAUGCAACAGGAAUGGACUUUUGCCACAGAUUGGCAUAUGCUGCCAAGAGCAUGCUUCCUCUCUGCUCAGAAAGGAAAACUCUCCAGGUGUUCACACCAACAAGAAACCACAAGAAAAUAUUUUUAUUCUGCUAUAGCCAUGAGGCUGGACACAUUUUCUCCAGGGGGUGCAUUUCUCUCUCAAGAGUUAAUUUGCACUCUGAGGUACCAUCUGUCUGUUCUCCAGCUGACUUUUCAAAGCAUCGCUGCCCCCUAAAUGGUCACCAGCCCUGCCCUGCCAGCCCCCAGGUGAUGCUGAACUCAGAACUCAGUUGUUCUUGUCUGUGAAAUGGAGGAGUAGGAGGGUCUUCAAGUCUCCUUCAAAGAACUACCAUUCCAUGAUCACAUCCUGAACAUGCAGGAAGACUACAUUUCCCAGCCUCCCUUGUGAUUACCACGUGACUGCAUUUCCACCAACAGGAAUGUAAGAAAUCACAUGCUGCUUUUGAGUCAAGGUAAUUAAAAGCAAGUGUAUGGAUGUGAGAGUUGGACUGUGAAGAAAGCUGAGCCCCGAAGAAUCAAUGCUUUUGAACCGUGGUGUUGGAGAAGACUCUUGAGAGUCCCUUGGACUGCAAGGACAUCCAACCAGUCCAUUGUGAAGGAGAUCAGCCCUGGGAUUUCUUUGGAAGGAAUGAUGCUAAAGCUGAAACUCCAGUAUUUUGGCCACCUCAUGCGAAGAGUUGACUCAUUGGAAAAGACUCUGAUGCUGGGAGGGAUUGGGGGCAGGAGGAGAAGGGGACGACAGAGGAUGAGAUGACUGGAUGGCAUCACUGACUCGAUGCACGUGAAUCUGAGUGAACUCUGGGAGUUGGUGAUGGACAGGGAGGCCUGGCGUGCUGCAAUUCAUGGGGGUCGCAAAGAGUCGGACACGAGUGAGCAACUAAACUGAACUGAACUGUGGGUUCUCCAUGCUUCCUCUGUUUCCCAUCCACAUGGCUACAAGAGAUGGCAGAUUUACAGGCUGGAAACCUCCAAGAUCUCUGAAACGCUGUUGGAGAAGGCCUACCAAAAGAGCCCCUGCCUUGCACUGGACUGUUAUAUGGGUGAUAUUAAAUGGUUACUGUGGGAAACCUCUGACUUUCCAGGAUUUCUUUGUCACAACAGCACUGUCUAGUGUUAUCUUGACUAACAUACAAGGUUCUGAGAGAUCUAACGACAGAGAAAGAAGUCAGACUUCAAUUACACUGCUAAUCUUGACUACAUCUUUAAAAAUUAAACAGAUCAUCCUAUAAAAC